rnacentral:lncRNA from 1 species
CUGUAACAAAGGCAUACUGUGGAAGGCUAGCCAUUCCUUUAUUGUAGCAGAGUGAGUGAAGUCAUGUUUUUUGCUGUAUUGGCUCAAGUUUAUUAGAUGUUAUAGGGACUACCUUUGGGUUUCCAAAGCCUCUGCAACAUCGAUUGCUACUGAAGAAUUUGAGAACAAGAUGUUGAUGGUGUCAUCAAUUAUUGUCUGCCUUGUUUCACUCGCUGCCCACUCGUUGGCCUCUUUUGAAACAUCAAGGUGAAUGAAUGCAAUUCCUGAUCUGCAGCAAGAUAAGCACUGCAAGCAAUAUUAAAGCAAUUCGAUGUACCCACCAUGAAACUUUGAAUUUUAACUAUUACAAGAUCACACUUACCUCCUUCAAAUAUAUCUGGAAUUCACUCAACGUAGUUUCUUCAACAUCUUUUUUUUGCUCAACUUCCUUCCCUUCUAAAAUGUUCCUGUGAAUAACAAAAU